CCAAUCCUGAUGUGUUCGUCUUAUCAUUACGUUUUGACCGAACAUUAAUGAAUACGGGAGCCUGAAAGUUUCUAUAUGGCGUGCAAGCCUCAUUUUACUUAUGAGAGGAAGCAUAAAAUAUGGAACAGGGCACCCACCUGCCGAGAGCGGGUUCAAAACUCACAAAGGACGGCACAAUCGGGAUUGGA
rnacentral:other from 1 species